rnacentral:rRNA from 1 species
GCUACAUGCAACGAGCGGAGUACGGUACUUGCUCCCGGAUGUUAGCGGCGGACGGGUGAGUAACACGUGGGUAACCUGCCUGUAAGACUGGGAUAACUCCGGGAAACCGGAGCUAAUACCGGAUAGUUCCUUGAACCGCAUGGUUCAAGGAUGAAAGACGGUUUCGGCUGUCACUUACAGAUGGACCCGCGGCGCAUUAGCUAGUUGGUGAGGUAACGGCUCACCAAGGCGACGAUGCGUAGCCGACCUGAGAGGGUGAUCGGCCACACUGGGACUGAGACACGGCCCAGACUCCUACGGGAGGCAGCAGUAGGGAAUCUUCCGCAAUGGACGAAAGUCUGACGGAGCAACGCCGCGUGAGUGAUGAAGGUUUUCGGAUCGUAAAGCUCUGUUGUUAGGGAAGAACAAGUGCAAGAGUAACUGCUUGCACCUUGACGGUACCUAACCAGAAAGCCACGGCUAACUACGUGCCAGCAGCCGCGGUAAUACGUAGGUGGCAAGCGUUGUCCGGAAUUAUUGGGCGUAAAGGGCUCGCAGGCGGUUUCUUAAGUCUGAUGUGAAAGCCCCCGGCUCAACCGGGGAGGGUCAUUGGAAACUGGGAAACUUGAGUGCAGAAGAGGAGAGUGGAAUUCCACGUGUAGCGGUGAAAUGCGUAAGAUGUGGAGGAACACCAGUGGCGAAGGCGACUCUCUGGUCUGUAACUGACGCUGAGACGAAAGCGUGGGGACGAACGGAUUAGAUACCCGGGUAUCCCCCCCCGA